rnacentral:rRNA from 1 species
GUGGGGAAUUUUACGCAAUGGGGGAAACCCUGACGUAGCGACACCGCGUGAGCGAAGAAGCCCUUUGGGGUGUAAAGCUCUGUCAGCAGGAACGAAAAAAAUGACGGUACCUGCAGAGGAAGCAUCGGCUAACUACGUGCCAGCAGCCGCGGUAAGACGUAGGAUGCGAGCGUUGUCCGGAUUCAUUGGGCGUAAAGAGUUCGUAGGCGGUUUGUUAAGUCUGAUGUUAAAGAUCGGGGCCCAACCCUGGGAGUGCAUUGGAUACUGGCAGACUGGAGUGCAGUAGAGGCGAGUGGAAUUCCCAGUGUAGCGGUGAAAUGCGUAGAUAUUGGGAAGAACACCGGUGGCGCAGGCGACUCGCUGGGCUGUAACUGACGCUGAGGAACGAAAGCUAGGGGAGCAAAUGGGAUUAGAUACCCCAGUAGUCC